rnacentral:rRNA from 1 species
GGCAGACGGGUGAGUAACGCGUGGGAACCUGCCCAGUAGUAGAGAAUAACUUGGGGAAACUUAAGCUAAUACUUUAUACGUCCUUCGGGAGAAAGCUUUAUGCGCUAUUGGAUGGGCCCGCGUUAGAUUAGUUUGUUGGUGAGGUAAUGGCUCACCAAGGCGACGAUCUAUAGCUGGUCUGAGAGGAUGAUCAGCCACACUGGGACUGAGACACGGCCCAGACUCCUACGGGAGGCAGCAGUGGGGAAUAUUGGACAAUGGGGGCAACCCUGAUCCAGCGAUGCCGCGUGAGUGAUGAAGGCCCUAGGGUUGUAAAACUCUUUCGUCAGGGAAGAUAAUGACGGUACCUGAAGAAGAAGAUCCGGCUAACUCCGUGCCAGCAGCCGCGGUAAUACGGAGGGGUCUAGCGUUAUUCGGAAUUACUGGGCGUAAAGCGAGCGUAGGCGGAUUUGUAAGUUGGAGGUGAAAUCCCAGAGCUUAACUCUGGAACUGCCUUCAAAACUACAUUUCUUGAGUUUGGUAGAGGAGAGUGGAAUUCCUAGUGUAGAGGUGAAAUUCGUAGAUAUUAGGAGGAACACCAGUGGCGAAGGCGACUCUCUGGGCCAAUACUGACGCUGAGGUUCGAAAGCAUGGGUAGCGAACAGGAUUAG